rnacentral:rRNA from 1 species
UACGUAGGGUGCAAGCGUUGUCCGGAAUUAUUGGGCGUAAAGAGCUCGUAGGCGGUUUGUUGCGUCAGCUGUGAAAACUCGAGGCUCAACCUCGAGACGUCGGUUGAAACCACCUGGCUAGAGUCCGGAAGAGGAGAGUGGAAUUCCCGGUGUAGCGGUGAAAUGCGCAGAUAUCGGGAAGAACACCCGUGGCGAAGGCGGCUCUCUGGGACGGUACUGACGCUGAGACGCGAAAGCGUGGGGAGCGAACAGG